rnacentral:rRNA from 1 species
UACGUAGGGUGCGAGCGUUAAUCGGAAUUACUGGGCGUAAAGCGUGCGCAGGCGGCUGUGCAAGACAGAUGUGAAAUCCCCGGGCUUAACCUGGGAAUUGCAUUUGUGACUGCACGGAUAGAGUGUGUCAGAGGGGGGUAGAAUUCCACGUGUAGCAGUGAAAUGCGUAGAUAUGUGGAGGAAUACCGAUGGCGAAGGCAGCCCCCUGGGAUAACACUGACGCUCAUGCACGAAAGCGUGGGGAGCAAACAGG